UACGUAGGUGGCAAGCGUUGUCCGGAAUCAUUGGGCGUAAAGAGCGCGUAGGCGGCUUGCCAGGUCCGAUGUGAAAGCCUGGGGCUUAACUCCAGAACUGCAUCGGAAACCGGCUUGCUAGAGUCUGGGAGAGGGGAGUGGAAUUCCUGGUGUAGCGGUGAAAUGCGUAGAUAUCAGGAGGAACACCGGUAGCGAAGGCGGCUCCCUGGAACAGUACUGACGCUGAGGCGCGAAAGCUAGGGGAGCAAACAGG
rnacentral:rRNA from 1 species